rnacentral:lncRNA from 1 species
GUUAGCUAUUGUUUUCGACAUGUAGAGCUCUGUGGUGCUAUUCAUUGUUUAGAAUGCCUCCUCAUUUCUAGACUCUGUCCUGGCUCAAGCCUUUGAUGGGCAGACAACAGCAACCAAUGGACAUCUUCCUUGUUCCCCUCUAGACAAGAGAUGAAAAACAAUCCUUCUUGAUGAUUUACAUUGAGGCCCAUCAACAUAAUACUUCCCUCUAUGCAACAAUUUUGUUUAUUCAUGGAUUUGUCCUUUUAUUCCUAAGUCAGAUAAGAUCCUUGCCCUUGAUGGUUUGAGGAAAUAGGGGCUCUUUCUCCUUUUUGCAGACUCUAGGGGACAAAGAACAUGGGGCCAUGGGACACAGGAGGAAUGGGAAGAAACAAGAAGAGAGGGAAUCUGUGUGAAAAGGAGGGGGCCAUAGUGGUAAUGGCCCAAGGCACAGAAGGGGGCAAACUGUCCUUGUUCUCUGUCCAGCAGCUACAGCCCCCCAUCGCAGUAUGAGCUUUGCUCCUCACUGCCCAUGCUCCUCAUUACUCUGACUUAGAAGCCUCUUUCAGGAUUUGAGUUGUAGUCGUUUUCAUCUGAGCCUGCAAAGGGGCAGAGUAAUUAGCCAGGUUAAUCAUACCAGAAUAGAAGAGAGAAGGGCCAUGAACAAAGUGGAUCCUGAUCACUCCAGAAGACUUUCUUUUUAACAACUAAAGAAGACCAGCCCAGUGGCACAGCGGUUAAGUUUGCACAUUCCACUUAGGCGGCCUGGGGUUCGCCAGUUUGGAUCCCCAGUGCGGACACAGCACGGCUUGUCAAGCCAUGCUGUGGCAGGUGUGCCACAUAUAAAAUAGAGGAAGAUGGGCACAGAUGUUAGCUCAGGGCCAAUCUUCCUCAGCAAAAAUGAGGAGGAUUGGCAGAUGUUGGCUCAGGACUAAUCUUCCUUAAAAAAAAAAAAAAAACUAAAGAAAUGUUUCAGAGCCACAAGACGAAACGGUGAUGCCUGAAGACUCAGUAAAAUCUGAGAUGUGAACGUUGAAUCCUGGGCUUGGGAUUCUUUGGCUCUGGACAGGAUACUCCAAGGGACACAGUACUGGGCAGUCCAAUCGAUCCCCUAAGAACAUCAUGCCCCAGGCUAAAGUUCCUGAAGACAUACCUUAAGGGUUUAUUUUUCCUUUUGCCUCAUCAAGCCCUGUGGGUUGUCUCAGCAGGCAAUGAAUGUAAGGACAGAUCUGCUUUAAGAAAACGAAAAUUAGAAAACACUCCCAACAUAAUGGAAACAGUAAAUAGCACACAUAACAGUGUAAACAACAUUAGCCUGAUUUUGUUUUUAAAUUUGUAUAUAUAUUUUCCUGAGUCUUCAAAUAUCAUCCACUAGAAUGUAAGCUCCAUGAGGACAAAGCUUUUGGUCUCUUUUGCUUGUUGCUGUAGUACCAUCACCAAGAAAAGUGUCUGCCCAUAGCAGAUACUCAAAAAAUAUUUGUUGGAUGAAUGAAUAUGCACCCACACUUAUAAAAUUGAAAAGAAAUGCCUCAAAAUAUUGAUGAAGGUUAUCUCUAGGUAGAGGGAUUGUGGAAGAAUUACACUUUUUUCUUUAUAAUAUUCUGCAUUUUCCAAUUUUUAAAACGACUAUGAGUUAUUUACAAUUGGGACAAAAUAAACAUUACUUUAAAAAGACUUUUGGAGGUGGUCAGCCCUGUGGCUGACUGGUUAAAUUUGUGUGUUCUGCUUCAGCAGCCUGUGGCUCAGAUCCUGGGUGUGGACCUAGCACCGCUCAUCAGGCCAUGCUGAGGUGGCAUCCCACAUAGCACAACCAGAAGGACCUACAACUAGAAUAUACAACCAUGUCCUGGGGGGCUUCAGGGAGAAGAAGAAGAAGAAGAAGAAGAAGAAGAAAAAGGAAGAUUGGCAACAGAUGUUAGCUCAGGAUGCCACCACAGCAUGGCUUGAUGAGUGGUGCUGGGUCUGCACCCAGGAUCUGAACCUGUGAACCCAGGGCCACUGAAGCGGAAGUGCUGAGAUAUGCAGGCCAAAUUAGAAGACAUUCUGCACGGAGGCUGCUUUUAAACUCAGGAUCUACUAUGUG